CAGAAACUGUUGGUGUCCGGAGGCUGGGAGAAGUCAUCAUCUGGAGAUCUGACAGGAAGUUCAUCCCGCGGUUCUCUCUCUCUCUCUCGACGCGACCUCGACGUGUAGUGUCAUCAUGUUUGCAAAAAUAAAGAAGAGAGACGCUGGCGAACCCUUCACCAUCACUGAAUGUGACGGAGUGAAGAAGCAAGUUAAAAUCGCCAGCUUUGGACCUAUCUCAGUGGAUUGCGGCUGCGGAUUGCAUCGUCCUGGUGGCUACACCAGACUCACAGAUUACCUUGACUGGAUCCAAAGGGUGGCUGGAGUCAAUAUCCGACCUUAAAGCUAUUUGUGUGUAGCGAGGUUCGUUCUAUAAGAAAAAAUUCAAACUUUUGAAUUUUCUUUUCAAUAAUCCUUGAAGCCAUUUUAUAAUUUAUAAAUAAAUGGAGCAAUUCUCUAUAGCGAAUAGCUGUUAUUCUAGAUUCCCCGGGGUUUUUCCAAGUCUCGUGGUUUUUUAACUGUUGGAACAGACAUGUUAAAAGCUUCUUGAAUAAAUUAUAAAAUAUAUUUUGUUUUACAAGGCUAUGUUUAAACUGUUUAUUGGAAAAUAAAAGAAUUCAAAACCCUGUUGUAUAUAUCCCCCCUUUAUAUGUUGAUAAUAGUAAUUAUCACAUAUAAUAAUCAAAAUUAUGCAAUAUUUAACUAGUUCGGUGCACCCCCGAAGACAAGUAUAUUUUUUUUAAAUAUAAAAAAUACCUUAUGGAAAAAAUAAUUUUUUCCAAUUACCCAACAAAAAGCAAGCCCAGUUCAUCAUCGUCCCGACCGCAACCACCUCCAGCGCUGCAAACGGGGUCGGGAUGGUCGAAGCAAUGAUAUCGUACGCCCCCAUGGACCUACCUGAAGAGCCGAGGAGAACGUUACACUCUACUGUCCGAGAAGACAGCAGUGUACAACUGCGUGAGGGCAGUUGGACUAAUAAAAUUCACCGAAAUGCGGAAGAGAGACGCUGGCGAACCCUUCACCAUCACUGAAUGUGACGGAGUGAAGACCCAAGUUAAAAUCGCCAGCUUUGGACCUAUCCCAGUGGAUUGCGGCUGCGAAUUGCA